ACUGGGCGUGGUGUUCUAUGCCUGUAAUCCUAGUGGCUUGGGAGGCGGAGACAGGUGGUUUGCUAGUUCAAAGCCAGCUUCAGCAACUUAGUGAGGCCCUAAGCAACUUGGUGAGACCCUGUCUCAA
rnacentral:sRNA from 1 species